UCCGUAGCUAAUUUAGCUACGGAAAUGAAAAUCCGUAGCUAAAUUUAGCUACGGAAAGAAAAUCCGUAGCUUAAUUAGCUACGGAUUUUGAAUUCCGUAGCUAAAUUAGCUACGGAUUUUCAUUU